rnacentral:rRNA from 1 species
UACGGAGGGUGCGAGCGUUGUUCGGAAUCACUGGGCGUAAAGCGCGUGUAGGCGGCCUCCUCAGUCUGGUGUGAAAGCCCGGGGCUCACCCCCGGAAGUGCAUUGGAUACUGGGAGGCUGGAGUACCGGAGAGGAGGGUGGAAUUCCUGGUGUAGCGGUGAAAUGCGUAGAUAUCAGGAGGAACACCGGUGGCGAAGGCGGCCCUCUGGACGGAUACUGACGCUGAGACGCGAAAGCGUGGGGAGCAAACAGG